GGUCGAUUAGCUCAGUUGGUUAGAGCGUGGUGCUAAUAUCAGUAGAUAUGAUACGCCAAGGUCGCGAGUUCGACCCUCGUAUUGACCA